GACGAACGCUGGCGGCGUGCUUAACACAUGCAAGUCGAACGGAAAGGCCUGCUUUCCCUUGUGGAUUGCGGGUACUCGAGUGGCGAACGGGUGAGUAGCACGUGAGUGAUCUGCCCCCAACUUUGGUAUAAGCCUGGGAAACUGGGUCUAAUUCCCGAUAGGACUGCAGGGUGGUGCCUGUGGUUGAAAACGAUUUUCUAGUGGUUGGGGAUGAGCUCGCGGCCUAUCAGCUUGUUGGUGGGGUAAUGGCCUACCAAGGCGGCGACGGGUAGCCGGCCUGAGAGGGUGGACGGCCACAUUGGGACUGAGAUACGGGCCAGACUCCUACGGGAGGCAGCAGUGGGGAAUAUUGCACAAUGGGCGGAAGCCUGAUGCAGCGACGCCGCGUGGGGGAGGACGGCCUUCGGGUUGUAAACUCCUUUCGACCGCGAGGAAGCCACCUGGUUGGAAGGGUGGUGACGGUAGUGGUAGAAGAAGCACCGGCUAACUACGU
rnacentral:rRNA from 1 species